CCUACGGGAGGCAGCAGUGAGGAAUAUUGGUCAAUGGACGAGAGUCUGAACCAGCCAAGUAGCGUGAAGGAUGACUGCCCUAUGGGUUGUAAACUUCUUUUAUAUGGGAAUAAAAUGUUCCACGUGUGGGAUUUUGUAUGUACCAUAUGAAUAAGGAUCGGCUAACUCCGUGCCAGCAGCCGCGGUAAUACGGAGGAUCCGAGCGUUAUCCGGAUUUAUUGGGUUUAAAGGGUGCGUAGGUGGAUUGUUAAGUCAGUUGUGAAAGGUUGCGGCUCAACCGUAAGAUUGCAGUUGAAACUGGCAGUCUUGAGUACAGUAGAGGUAGGCGGAAUGCGUGGUGUAGCGGUGAAAUGCUUAGAUAUCACGAAGAACUCCGAUUGCGAAGGCAGCUCACUGGACUGCAACUGACACUGAGGCACGAAAGUGUGGGUAUCAAACAGGAUUAGAUACCCCAGUAGUC
rnacentral:rRNA from 1 species